CGAAGGGGGCUAGCGUUGCUCGGAAUCACUGGGCGUAAAGGGCGCGUAGGCGGCCAUUUAAGUCGGGGGUGAAAGCCUGUGGCUCAACCACAGAAUUGCCUUCGAUACUGGGUGGCUUGAGUCCGGAAGAGGUUGGUGGAACUGCGAGUGUAGAGGUGAAAUUCGUAGAUAUUCGCAAGAACACCGGUGGCGAAGGCGGCCAACUGGUCCGGAACUGACGCUGAGGCGCGAAAGCGUGGGGAGCAAACAGGAUUAGAUACCCUGGUAGUCAAGGGCGAAUUCGC
rnacentral:rRNA from 1 species